rnacentral:rRNA from 1 species
UAUAAGACUGGGAUAACUUCGGGAAACCGGGGCUAAUGCCGGAUAAUAUUUAGAACCGCAUGGCUCUAAAGUGAAAGAUGGUUUUACUAUCGCUUAUAGAUGGACCCGCGCCGUAUUAGCUAGUUGGUGGGGUAAUGGCUUACCAAGGCAACGAUACGUAGCCGACCUGAGAGGGUGAUCGGCCACACUGGAACUGAGACACGGUCCAGACUCCUACGGGAGGCAGCAGUAGGGAAUCUUCCGCAAUGGGCGAAAGCCUGACGGAGCAACGCCGCGUGAGUGAUGAAGGUCUUCGGAUCGUAAAACUCUGUUAUUAGGGAAGAACAAAUGUGUAAGUAACUGUGCACGUCUUGACGGUACCUAAUCAGAAAGCCACGGCUAACUACGUGCCAGCAGCCGCGGUAAUACGUAGGUGGCAAGCGUUAUCCGGAAUUAUUGGGCGUAAAGCGCGCGUAGGCGGUUUCUUAAGUCUGAUGUGAAAGCCCACGGCUCAACCGUGGAGGGUCAUUGGAAACUGGGAAACUUGAGUGCAGAAGAGGAAAGUGGAAUUCCAUGUGUAGCGGUGAAAUGCGCAGAGAUAUGGAGGAACACCAGUGGCGAAGGCGACUUUCUGGUCUGCAACUGACGCUGAUGUGCGAAAGCGUGGGGAUCAAACAGGAUUAGAUACCCUGGUAGUCCACGCCGUAAACGAUGAGUGCUAAGUGUUAGGGGUUUCCGCCCCUUAGUGCUGCAGCUAACGCAUUAAGCACUCCGCCUGGGGAGUACGACCGCAAGGUUGAAACUCAAG